UCUUCGGCAAUGGGCGCAAGCCUGACCGAGCGACGCCGCGUGCGGGAUGAAGGCCUUCGGGUUGUAAACCGCUGUCGUAGAGGAGGAAAUGCAGGGGGGUUCUCCCUUCUGUUUGACCUAUUCUAGGAGGAAGUACGGGCUAAGUUCGUGCCAGCAGCCGCGGUAAGACGAACCGUACAAACGUUACUCGGAAUUACUGGGCUUAAAGGGUGCGUAGGCUGCGCGGAAAGUUGGGUGUGAAAGCCCUCGGCUCAACCGAGGAAUUGCACUCAAAACUACCGUGCUUGAGGGAGACAGAGGUAAGCGGAACUCAAGGUGGAGCGGUGAAAUGCGUUGAUAUCUUGAGGAACACCGGUAGCGAAGGCGGCUUACUGGGUCUUUUCUGACGCUGAGGCACGAAAGCUAAGGUAGCAAACGGGAUUAGAUACCCCGGUAGUCUUAGCUGUAAACGAUGAGCACUUGAUUGGAGGGUCCUCCAUAGCCUUCCAGUCGUAGCGAAAGUGUUAAGUGCUCCGCCUGGGGA
rnacentral:rRNA from 1 species